rnacentral:rRNA from 1 species
GAUUAACGCUGGCGGCGUGCCUAACACAUGCAAGUCGAGCGGCAGCGCGUUUUACACUCAAUUCUGGAAUCUUCGAGUGGAAAGAGAAUAUUAAUUCGAUAAUUUUGUUUAAAGUGUCGGCUAGCUUCGGACGGCUGAGUAACGCGUGGGAUCGUACCUCAAAGUGCGGGAUACCGCAUCGAAAGGUGUGCUAAUACCGCAUAUUGUCUUCGGCUUAAAGCCUUCGGGCGCUUUGGGAACGGCCUGCGUAAGAUUAGAUAGUUGGUGGGGUAAUGGCCUACCAAGUCGACGAUCUUUAACUGGUAUGAGAGGAUGCUCAGUCAGACUGGAACUGAGACACGGUCCAGACUCCUACGGGAGGCAGCAGUGAGGAAUCUACCACAAUGGGCGAAAGCAUGAAGGAGCAACGCCGCGUACAGGAUGAAGGCCUUCGGGUUGUAAACUGCUUUUAUAAGUGAGGAUUAUGACAGUAACUUAUGAAUAAGGAUCGGCUAACUACGUG